rnacentral:RNase_P_RNA from 1 species
AAUGGGCAGUCGCGCGGGAAACCGUGAGGAAAGUCCGGGCAUCAUACGGCAGAGUAACGGCUAACAGCCGCCGAGGGAAACCUCCGGGACAGUGCAACAGAAAGUUACCGCCGCGUAUGCGGUAAGGGUGGAAAGGCGAGGUAAGAGCUCACCGGAGCGUCGGAGACGGCGCUGCCGUGUAAACCCUACUCGAUGCAACACCGACUGGGGAGUCAGCCGGACGGGCGCUUCGGCGCCGACCCCGAAGGGUGGCUUGAGCCGCACGGCAACGUGCGGUCGAGAUAGAUGAUUGCCUUAAACGACAGAACCCGGCUUACAGUUUUACC